rnacentral:rRNA from 1 species
CUGGCUCAGGAUGAACGCUAGCGGCAGGCCUAAUACAUGCAAGUCGAGCGGCAAGUCGAGGAGUAAUCUAAGACCUAGAGCGGCGCACGGGUGCGUAACGCGUAUGCAACCUACCUUAUACUGGGGGAUAGCCCGGAGAAAUCUGGAUUAAUACCCCAUGGUACAUAUUGAGGGCAUCUGAGAUAUGUUAAAGAUUUAUUGGUAUAAGAUGGGCAUGCGUCUGAUUAGCUAGUUGGCGGUGUAACGGACCACCAAGGCGACGAUCAGUAGGGGUUCUGAGAGGAAGGUCCCCCACACUGGCACUGAGAUACGGGCCAGACUCCUACGGGAGGCAGCAGUAGGGAAUAUUGGGCAAUGGUCGGAAGACUGACCCAGCCAUGCCGCGUGCAGGAAGAAGGCCCUCUGGGUUGUAAACUGCUUUUAUCUGGGAAGAAAAAGGCCAUGCGUGGCAAAUUGCCGGUACCAGAUGAAUAAGCACCGGCUAACUCCGUGCCAGCAGCCGCGGUAAUACGGAGGGUGCAAGCGUUGUCCGGAUUUAUUGGGUUUAAAGGGUGCGUAGGCGGCUGAUUAAGUCAGCGGUGAAAGACUUCGGCUUAACCGGAGCAGUGCCGUUGAUACUGAUUGGCUUGAGUGUUGGAGGGGUACAUGGAAUUGAUGGUGUAGCGGUGAAAUGCAUAGAUACCAUCAGGAACACCGAUAGCGAAGGCAUUGUACUGGCCAACAACUGACGCUGAGGCACGAAAGUGUGGGGAUCGAACAGGAUUAGAUACCCUGGUAGUCCACACUGUAAACGAUGAUUACUCGCUGUUAUGGUGUAUGCUGUAGCGGCCAAGCGAAAGCGUUAAGUAAUCCACCUGGGGAGUACGCCGGC